GUCGAGCGGACGACGGGAGCUUGCUCCUUAGGUCAGCGGCGGACGGGUGAGUAACACGUGGGUAACCUGCCUGUAAGACUGGGAUAACUCCGGGAAACCGGGGCUAAUACCGGAUGCUUGAUUGAACCGCAUGGUUCAAUCAUAAAAGGUGGCUUUUAGCUACCACUUACAGAUGGACCCGCGGCGCAUUAGCUAGUUGGUGAGGUAACGGCUCACCAAGGCGACGAUGCGUAGCCGACCUGAGAGGGUGAUCGGCCACACUGGGACUGAGACACGGCCCAGAACUCCUACGGGAGGCAGCAGUAGGGAAUCUUCCGCAAUGGACGAAAGUCUUGACGGAGCAACGCCGCGUGAGUGAUGAAGGUCCUCGGAUCGUAAAACUCUGUUGUUAGGGAAGAACAAGUACCGUUCGAAUAGGGCGGGCACCUUGACGGUUCCUAACCAGAAAGCCACGGCUAACUACGUGCCAGC
rnacentral:rRNA from 1 species